ACAAGAACAUACAGCAAUCAGUUACCGGACAGCUCUGAAACACGCUGGACAGGUCUGAAACAUACUGGACAGGUCUGAACACGCUGGACAGGUCUGAAACAUACUGGACAGGUCUGAACACGCUGGACAGGUCUGAAACACGCUGGACAGGUCUGAAACACGCUGGACAGGUCUGAAACACGCUGGACAGGUCUGAAACACGCUGGACAGCUCUGAAACACGCUGGACAGCUCUGAAACACGCUGGACAGGUCUGAACACAACACACCUCCUCAAUCUCGCUUGUAAUAAUUCACACGAGGAAAAUAAGAAAUGUUGAGCUGUGUGAGAACCACUCUUUAUAGACCAUGGUUCACAACAUCUGUUUAUCACGAACCUGACCAUGGUUCACACCAUCUGUUUAUCACUAACCUGACCAUGGUUCACACCAUCUGUUUAUCACUAACCUGACCAUGGUUCACACCAUCUGUUUAUCACUAACCUGACCAUGGUUCACACCAUCUGUUUAUCACUAACCUGACCAUGGUUCACAACAUCUGUUUAUCACUAACCUGACCAAUAAAAUCAAUCAUUUAAUGAG